rnacentral:rRNA from 1 species
AUUGAACGCUGGCGGCAGGCCUAACACAUGCAAGUCGAGCGGAUGAAGGGAGCUUGCUCCUGGAUUCAGCGGCGGACGGGUGAGUAAUGCCUAGGAAUCUGCCUGGUAGUGGGGGAUAACGUCCGGAAACGGGCGCUAAUACCGCAUACGUCCUGAGGGAGAAAGUGGGGGAUCUUCGGACCUCACGCUAUCAGAUGAGCCUAGGUCGGAUUAGCUAGUUGGUGGGGUAAAGGCCUACCAAGGCGACGAUCCGUAACUGGUCUGAGAGGAUGAUCAGUCACACUGGAACUGAGACGCGGUCCAGACUCCUACGGGAGGCAGCAGUGGGGAAUAUUGGACAAUGGGCGAAAGCCUGAUCCAGCCAUGCCGCGUGUGUGAAGAAGGUCUUCGGAUUGUAAAGCACUUUAAGUUGGGAGGAAGGGCAGUAAGUUAAUACCUUGCUGUUUUGACGUUACCAACAGAGUAAGCACCGGCUAACUUCGUG